UGUUGUUUGGGUUAGAAGUUGUUCUAGUUGAUUGCAAAUAUUAAAAGGGGUUCAAGAUUUAAUUGAAGUGAUUUGAGCAAGAUUUGAGUUAAAUUUCAGAAAAGACCCAAUGAAGAAGACUAAGUCAGUUUUUUGUAUAAUCCUGUAUAAUAGUGUAUAUGAGUGUAUAAGCACAUCUUAUACAUUAUUAUAUACUUUUAUACACCUUUAUACAAUCUUCAGUAGAAGAACUUCUUUCACGAUUUUCAGUUGUAAUUCUUAUUCAAAAUCAGUCCAAAUCUCCAUUAAAUGACUCCAAAUUUUAUAUACAACUUCCUUAUAUUAUUUCUAAUAAAUUUAGAUAAUACCCAUUCCAUAAUUCUCACAAAAUUAAAUCUGAAAUUUAAACUCACAUAUUUAAGUUUGUUAAAAUAUAAUCUUCACCAUGUAAGUGGAUUUGGUUUAUUGAAUUAAUAUUUGAUUCACGGUUACUGAUUUGAAAGUUAACUUAAAAGCUAGAGCAAUCUUUUUUUAAAAUUAAAUAGUAAUUUCGAGAAGCUAUUGGAGUUGAAUGUUGAGUAUUAG
rnacentral:lncRNA from 1 species